rnacentral:ncRNA from 1 species
ACCGCCAGCACCUUGGCAAUGUAUGGAAUCAGCGGCAGGUUCAGCACCAAGAGCACCAGAUUGCCCACAUACAUGGAGAUGAUCACCGCCCAAAAGAUCUGCGGCUCGUCGAUCAUCAGGCGCGGCCC